rnacentral:rRNA from 1 species
CCAAUAGCGUAUAUUAAAGUUGUUGCAGUUAAAAAGCUCGUAGUUGAAUUUCGGGAUCAAUACGUCGGUCGUGCCUCUGGUACGUACUGGUGUUAUUGAUUUCUCCCUUCUGAUGAACCAUGAUGUCAUUCAUUUGGUGUUGUGUGGAGUCAGGACUGUUACUUUGAAAAAAUUAGAGUGUUUAAAGCAGGCUCACGCUUGAAUACAUUAGCAUGGAAUAAUGAAAUAGGACGUUCGAUCCUAUUUUGUUGGUUUCUAGGAUCAACGUAAUGAUUAAUAGGGAUAGUUGGGGGCAUUAGUAUUCAAUUGUCAGAGGUGAAAUUCUUGGAUUUAUUGAAGACUAACUACUGCGAAAGCAUUUGCCAAGGAUGUUUUCAUUAAUCAAGAACGAAAGUUAGGGGAUCGAAGACGAUCAGAUACCGUCGUAGUCUUAACCAUAAACUAUGCCGACUAGGGAUCGGAUGAUGUUAAUUUUUUAAUGACUCAUUCGGCGCCUUACG